GCACGGUAAGGCAUAUCCAGGGAAGGUCAAAGGUGUAAAUGUGGAAUGGAAGAUUCCUUUACAGGUAGCAAAAGGCCAAGAGGGGAAAAAAGGAAGAG